UACGUAGAGUGCAAGCGUUAAUCGGAAUUACUGGGCGUAAAGCGUGCGCAGGCGGUUUUGUAAGACAGAGGUGAAAUCCCCGGGCUCAACCUGGGAACUGCCUUUGUGACUGCAAGGCUAGAGUACGGCAGAGGGGGGUGGAGUUCCGCGUGUAGCAGUGAAAUGCGUAGAUAUGCGGAGGAACACCGAUGGCGAAGGCAACCCCCUGGGCCUGUACUGACGCUCAUGCACGAAAGCGUGGGGAGCAAACAGG
rnacentral:rRNA from 1 species